rnacentral:rRNA from 1 species
UACGGAGGGUGCAAGCGUUAACCGGAAUUACUGGGCGUAAAGCGUGCGCAGGCGGUUUGUUAAGUCCGUUGUGAAAGCCCCGAGCUCAACUUGGGAAUUGCAGUGGAUACUGGCAGGCUGGAGUACGGUAGAGGAAGGUGGAAUUCCCGGUGUAGCAGUGAAAUGCGUAGAUAUCGGGAGGAACACCAGUGGCGAAGGCGGCCUUCUGGACCAGUACUGACGCUCAUGCACGAAAGCGUGGGGAGCAAACAGG